AGUCUUACAAUUUCUACCCGCCCGGGUACUACGAGCAUCAGCUUAAAACCCAAAGGACUUGGCGGUGCUUUAGAUCCACCUAGAGGAGCCUGUUCUAGAACCGAUAACCCCCGUUCAACCUCACCUUCUUUUGUUAAUUCCGCCUAUAUACCACCGUCGUCAGCUUACCCCCUGAGGGAAUGAUAGUAAGCAAAAUUGGUAAAGCCUCAAACGUCAGGUCGAGGUGUAGCGUAUAAGUAGGGAAGAAAUGGGCUACAUUCGCUAUUAUAGCGAACACGAAUGAUGUUCUGAAACGCACAUCUGAAGGAGGAUUUAGCAGUAAGUGAAAAGUAGAGAGUUUCACUGAAAUUGGCCCUGAAGCGCGUACACAUCGCCCGUCACUCUCCCCAAGCCUAAAGAUAAAAUUACAUAAAAAAUAAUAAUUGCAAAGGGGAGGCAAGUCGUAACAUAGUAAGUGUACCGGAAGUGUACUUGGCAAAC
rnacentral:rRNA from 1 species